UACGUAGGGUGCAAGCGUUGUCCGGAAUUAUUGGGCGUAAAGAGCUCGUAGGCGGUUUGUCGUCGUCGAAUGUGAAAACCCGGGGCUCAACUCCGGGCCUGCAUUCGAUACGGGCAGACUAGAGUUCGGUAGGGGAGACUGGAAUUCCUGGUGGUAGCGGUGAAAUGCGCAGAUAUCAGGAGGAACACCGGUGGCGAAAGGC
rnacentral:rRNA from 1 species